CUCAGUUCAAGAUGGUUAGGGUGAUUCGGCCAACUGUUCUGCCCCAAUAACAAGAGGGGGAGGCAAAUAAGGCCUCCCAUGCCUUGUCUGCCUCUUCCUCUCUAUUUUUUUUUUUCAAAUUCCGUGAGAAAAGGAAAACACAGCAAAUUCUUGCCAAAUUUAGGCCAAAAUCAAGGUAUGAUCCCUAUCUCCUUUUCCCUUGCUCUCUUCCUCCCUCCCUCUUUUUUAUUUUGAGUGCUAAAAUAGGCCAAAAAUGGGGAAAAUGAGGAAAAAUCAUGCCAAAUUUUGUCUUUUGGUAUGAUUUCAUGAUAUGUUAUAGAUCUAAGGAUGAUCUGACCAAAUCCCAAAAAAUGUUUUUUUUUUUGUUGAUCAUAUUAAAUUUUACAUUAAAAAUAUAUUUUUAGAUUAAAAAUAAUAAAAAUAAUAAAGUAAUGUUCAAAAAAUGCUGUAAAACUG
rnacentral:lncRNA from 1 species